AGGUUCUCUGACAAGCUAAACACAGCUGCACUUCAGUGGCUAUUUUUGGACUCUGUAAAUUCUGGGCCUCUUUCUCUUUGAAAUAUUCUCUGCAGAUUUGCCAAAGACUUUUUAUCUCACUUCUGUCUCGGGGACAACGACUUCGGCCUGAACUGUGAACAGGAAGAGGAGAAUCUACAACCAAACUGACUGUAACAACAGCAACAACAACAACAAGACAGGUACUGGAGAGAUGGCUCAAUGGUUAGGAGCGCUAGCUGCUCUCACAGAAGACUUGAGUUUGGUCCCCAGUGCCCACAGCUGCCAAUUAUAAGGGACUCUGAUGCAUUCUUCCAACCUUUGCAGGGACAGCUUGAGUAGGUAAAUAAACAUACAUGUAGGCAAAGCCCUGUAAAAAAUAUAUAUACACAUACAUAUGCUUUGAAUCCCAGUACAGGCAGAGGCAGGCAGGCCGAUCUCUGAAUUUAAGGCUAACCUAGUCUACAGAGCCAGUUCAGAACAACCAGGGCUACACAGAGAAAUCCUUUCUCAAAUAAGACAAAACAAA